CGCGUAGGCGGUUUUGUAAGUCAGGUGUGAAAUCCCGGGGCUCAACCCCGGAAGUGCAUUUGAUACUGCAAGACUUGAGUAUGGGAGGGGGAAGUGGAAUUCCUGGUGUAGAGGUGAAAUUCGUAGAUAUCAGGAGGAACACCAGUGGCGAAGGCGACUUCCUGGACCAAUACUGACGCUGAUGCGCGAAGGCGUGGGGAGCAAACA
rnacentral:rRNA from 1 species